GCCUCCAAAAAUUACCCAUAAUUCUGGUAAGAGGAAGCAGUUCUCAUAGUGGCUGAAAUGUAAUUACCCGCCACCCACAUUGGAGGGGGAUAGGUAGACAGAGGGGAGAUAACCUACAGGAACCAAUUUAUUGACUGAAAUAUGUACCUGGAAAAUAGCAUUACAAAGUUCUGCCAAUGUGAAGACAUCCAGGGUCCUGAUAUAUUCCAGGUCUGGGGGACACAAUCGGAGAAAUUGGUUGUUUUAUCAAGGCUUUGACUGGAAUGCUGUGCUUCUUUUAAAGAAUCGAAGUUGACUCAUAGAAACAAUGAAAUCCCUUGGGGAAUCUGGCUUCAUACCUUGUCUACACAGAGUCCUUGUACAAGUUUCUUGA
rnacentral:lncRNA from 1 species